rnacentral:misc_RNA from 1 species
UACUGAGUCGUCGACACGAGUUGUUGCUGGUCCUCAAACGGGGGACAUGUGCACGCUCUGUUUACACAUCCACUCACACCUGUGCACCCUCUGUAGUUCUAUGGUCUGGGGGGCUCUGCCUCCCUUCCGUGGUUCUGCAUCUUUACACACACACUGUAACAAAGUUUUAUGGAAUGUACAUCGCGUUUAACGCAAUAUAAUACAACUUUCAGCAACGGAUCUCUUGGCUCUCGCAUCGAUGAAGAACGCAGCGAAAUGCGAUAAGUAAUGUGAAUUGCAGAAUUCCGUGAAUCAUCGAAUCUUUGAACGCAUAUUGCGCCCGUUGGGACUCCAACGGGCAUGCCUGUCCGAGCGUCAUCACCGUCCUUCCAGCCUGCCCCGGGGGGGGUGCAACACGGUUGGGUCUUGGGGGAUCGUCCGGGGGAUCGAUCCCGGACGAGCCCCGAAAGCUAGUUGACGGGGCCGGAUCCGGGCCUGGAGCGCAUGGGGUUCUGAGGGCGACAGCGUCCUCCCCGCUUUCCACAGACCGGAUCGGUGCUCCGUCCCCCGUCGAUAGGGGAAUACAACGAUGCCAUCAGGUUG